UACGGGGGGGGCAAGCGUUGUUCGGAAUUACUGGGCGUAAAGGGCUUGUAGGUGGCCAACUAAGUCAGACGUGAAAUCCCUCGGCUUAACCGGGGAACUGCGUCUGAUACUGGAUGGCUGGAGUGUGGGAGAGGGAUGCGGAAUUCCAGGUGUAGCGGUGAAAUGCGUAGAUAUCUGGAGGAACACCGGUGGCGAAGGCGGCAUCCUGGUCCAUUACUGACACUGAAAAGCGAAAGCCAGGGGAGCAAACGGG
rnacentral:rRNA from 1 species